AUGCUUGUUAAGUACAAUUUGAUGUCCCACAGUUACAUGACAAAUUUGUACGAGAUACGACGCAAAUGGGCGAAACCAUACUUCAAAGGUGUUUUCUGUGCCAAAAUGACCAGGACCCAGCGUAGCACGAGUGCAAACAAUAUGCUGAAAAUAUACAUGCCACCAGCAAGUCCAAUGCAUGUGUUUGUGCGUCAGGAUAUGAGGCUGCAAUUCGACCAGGAAUCAGAUGAGAGCUACCAAGAAAAACAAACAAGGAUUGUAAGCCCACUAUAUGAAAAACCUACUCAAUUGUUUGUUGCUCAUAUUAUUGUGUAUAAAACUGGCAAAUUCUCUUUUUCCUCUGUGCUGCUCAGAGUGGCGCUGUCAUGA
rnacentral:rRNA from 1 species